GGGGGAAAAUUAAUAAUUUAAAUUUAAUAAAAGAAAUUUUAAUAUUAAAAAGAAAAAUGGGGGUUUGAGUAUUUUUAAUAGAAAAAAUUAAAAGUUUUAUAGUUAAAUAUUACUGUAAAGGAAUUUAUAAAUAAAUGAAAUAUAAUUAAUGGAAAAGUAAAUUUAAAUUAUUGUAUCUUGUGUAUCAGAGUUUAUUAAAUAAUAAUAAUUUAUUUAAAUAAAUCUCGAAUUUAAAAGAGUUAAUUAAUUAAAAAAGUUAAUGUUGUAUAAUUAUUUUAAAUAAUUAAUUAGAAAUGAAAUGUUAAUCGUUUUUAAAUAUAUCUAGUUUUUUCAGAAAAAAAUUUAAUUUUAAAUUUAAAUAAUUUUAUAAUUAUUUAAUUAAUUAUAAAAAUUUAAAUUUUAAUAUUUUAGGGGAUAAGCUUUAAAUUAAAAAUUUAUAAUUAAAAAUAAUUAAAAAUUAAAAUUUUUAAAAUUUAUAUUGUUUAAAAAUUAUAGUUUAUUAUAAAAAAUUUUAUUAAAAAUAAAAUUUAAGAUAAAAAAAUUUAAAUUUUUAUGAAAAAAUAAUUUAUAAUUUAAUAAAAUUAGAAAUAAUGAUAAAAUUAGUAUAAUAUAAUAAGUUAAAAAAAAAAUUAUAAAUAAUUAAGUUAAAGGAAUUCGGCAAAAAUUUAUAUUCACUUGUUUAUCAAAAACAUGUCUUUUUGAUAAUAAUUUAAAGUCUAAUCUGCCCACUGAUAUUAUAUUAAAGGGCUGCAGUAUAUUGACUGUACAAAGGUAGCAUAAUCAUUAGUCUUUUAAUUGAAGACUUGUAUGAAAGAUUUGAUGAAAUAUAAACUGUCUCUAAUUUAUGAUUAGAAAUUAAUUUUUUAGUUAAAAAGCUAAAAUAAAAUUAAAAGACGAGAAGACCCUAUAGAGUUUUAUAUUUUAUUUAAUUAGUAUUAAAUAUAUAAUUAAAUAUAUUAAUUAAAAAAAAUAUUGUGUUGGGGUGAUAGAAAAAUUUAAUAAACUUUUUUUAAAAUUAAACAUAAAUAAGUGGUUAAUUGAUCCAUUAAUAAUGAUUAAAAGAAAAAAUUACCUUAGGGAUAACAGCGUAAUAUUUUUUUUUAGUACGUAUAAAAAAAAAAGUUUGCGACCUCGAUGUUGGAUUAAGAUAAAAUUUAAAUGCAAAAGUUUAAAAUUUUGAUCUGUUCGAUCAUUAAAAUCUUACAUGAUCUGAGUUCAAACCGGUGUAAGCCAGGUUGGUUUCUAUCUUUAAUAAAAAAAAAUAUUUUAGUACGAAAGGAUCAAAUAUUUAAAAUAAUUUUAUAAUAAUGAAUAUUAAUAAUAUAGUUUAUAA
rnacentral:rRNA from 1 species